rnacentral:rRNA from 1 species
CCCUUAGAUGUUCUGGGCCGCACGCGCGCUACACUGAUUCAUUCAUCAAGUCUAUAACCUUGGUAGAAAUGCUUGGGUAAUCUUUGAAACUGAAUCGUGCUGGGGAUUGGAGCUUGUAAUUAUUCUCCAUGAACGAGGAAUUCCUAGUAAACGCGAGUCAUCAGCUCGCAUUGAUUACGUCCCUGCCCUUUGUACACACCGCCCGUCGCACCUACCGAUUGAGUGGUCCGGUGAGGCUUUGGGAUCUGAGCGGAAAGAGCGUUUCGCUGUUUCUGCUCGGAAAACUCAGUCGAACCUUAUCAUUUAGAGGAAGGAGAAGUCGUAACA